rnacentral:rRNA from 1 species
AGUGAACGCUGGCGGUAUGCCUAACACAUGCAAGUCGAACGGCAGCACAGUAAGAUCUUGCUCUUACGGAUGGCGAGUCGCGGACGUGUCGCGAAUACAUCGUAAUCUACUUUUUCGUGGAGGAUAACGUAGGUAAACUUACUCUAAUACCGCAUACGACCUACCGUUGAAAGCAUUGGAUCUUCUGACCUUGCGCGGUUGAAUGAGCCGAUGUCGGAUUAGCUAGUUGGCGGGGUAAAGGCCCACCAAGUCGACGACCCGUAGCUGGUCUGAGAGGAUGAUCAGCAGCACGGGAAGUGAGACAGGGACAAGACUCCUGAGAGAGGCAGCAGAGGGGAAUAGUGGACAACGGGCGCAAGCAUGAUACAGCCAUACCGCGUGGGAGAAGAAGGCGUUCGGGUUGUAAAGACCUUUUGUUGGGAAAGAAAAGCAGCAGGUUAAUACCACGCUGUUCUGACGGUAACGAAAGAAUAAGCACCGGCUAACUACGUG